AUCGAAUUCUACCUCUCCUCGCGGCUUCUUUAAUCAUAUCACAAAAGAUGGAAUAGUACUUUACUUUCUAUCAUUUGUUCCUUUCUAGGUUGGUCCCAAAUAGACUUAUCUACUAGGCCUAUAGAUAUAUUAAGUGGCAGCAAAGUUUAGGAGAAAGCCUGAUAACCAUAAUCUCGGGCUUUUAAAAUCUUAGCCCAAGAUUUACGACAA